CUGCGGAGGGAUCAUUACACAAAUGAAAAUAUGAAGGCCCUUCAAACCGGCUGGAUUAUUUUUCUUCACCCUUGUCUUUUGCGCACUUGUUGUUUCCUGGGCGGGUUCGCUCGCCACCAGGACCACACCAUAAACCUUUUUGUUAAUGCAAUCAGCGUCAGUAAAAAGUAAUAAUUAUUUUACAACUUUCAACAACGGAUCUCUUGGUUCUGGCAUCGAUGAAGAACGCAGCGAAAUGCGAUACGUAGUGUGAAUUGCAGAAUUCAGUGAAUCAUCGAAUCUUUGAACGCACAUUGCGCCCUUUGGUAUUCCAAAGGGCAUGCCUGUUCGAGCGUCAUUUGUACCCUCAAGCUUUGCUUGGUGUUGGGCGUUGUUUGUCUUUGGCCUUGCCCAAAGACUCGCCUUAAAACAAUUGGCAGCCGGCCUACUGGUUUCGCAGCGCAGCACAUUUUUGCGCUUGCAAUCAGCAAAAGAGGUUGGCCAUCCAUCAAGACUACAUUUAUACGUUUGACCUCGGAUCAGGUAGGGAUACCCGCUGAACUUAAGCAUAU
rnacentral:rRNA from 1 species